ACUGUUUAUGUGCUCAGUAAGUUUCCUAUCUCUUUGCUUAAAACCCUACUCUGUUUAUCUCUCCAUUUAUUGUUUAUCUCUCGCUGUUUAUUUCUCUGCUUUUAUUGUUUCCUCUAUGUAAUAUCUUUUCAUGUAAAAUUUCUCUUGUACAUUAAUAAAGUGUGGACCUAGUAUGUGUUUACUUAUGUUUGCAUAUUAUGCAAUUUAAGAUUUUAUUUAAUAUUAAAAUAGGCAAUACUAGUUAUGCUCAGUGGAUAGUACUUGAUAUCUCAAUAGUUCCGUUAAUAGGAAUCAUAUUGUUCUGUCUUAAUUAUUAUAGAAUUUUACAAUCACUAGUUCAAUACAACUACUACAGAAUCAUCAGAAGAAUGUAGUUGUCCACUACCUCAAUAUAAUGUUCAUACACUUACACAAGAAAACAAUUUUAUUUUGGACAUUAUAGACAAAAUAAAUGAUCCUGAUGAAAAAAGAGCUAUCAUUACUUAAUUUAUCAAUAUUACAAAAAAUAAAUCAAAAUCGUUACCUAUUAUAAAAAAUCCAGAUGAAUAUAAUUUCUCUGCUAUUAUCAAACGAGUAAGUGAUCAACACACUCUCAAAAAGAACCUACAAUCUCUGAUCUCAAAAAAGAGAUUAAAGAAAUAAAAACUGAAAUAAUACAAUUAAAAGGAAGAAUUCAAAUGCUAGAAUUGCAACAAAUGUCUCAACAAGAAUCUGAGACAGAUGAAGUCGAAUUCAAUGACUUAAUAAAUGAAAACAUAAAAGAUACUCCUGAAUCUUCAGAAGUACCAACAAUACCAGUUCCUUCUGUCAAUGUAAUAAAGUUGUAGUGUAAGAACUAUUUGUUCCUAUAAGAUCAAGGUCAUUACUAUCUAUUUCUUCUGUAUAAGAUUCACUAGAAGUGGAGGAAGUAGAAUUAUAAGAAAGUAUAUUUUUUAAUUUUAAUUUUGUUGUAUCGUCUAAAUUUAAUGAUUCUAUUUUCUUUUUUAAUUUACAUUGGUGUUUAUAAUGUCCUAUUUUACCACACUUAUAACAUACUGGUAAUUUUUUCCUUCCAAUGAUCUAGCUGACAGUCUUCUCGUAUUAAUAAUCUUGAGAAAAAUACAUCUUUGUACCAUUUAUAAUGAGAUAGAGUAGGACAGCGUAAGUUAGAUAGCAGAUCUUCUGAUCUUGCUGCUAGUAAUGAGGUACUGCCUACAAAAUGUAAAGUGAUUGUAUAUAUCAAAGUAUUGACAGCAUCACUUUCUGUAUAUAUGACUUCUUGAUUUUGUUCAUUUCUCCCUGUCCAUUGUCUUGUAUUAUUCAAAAUUCUUUGUUUGGUAUCAUCAUCUACAUAAAAAUCCCACCAUCC
rnacentral:lncRNA from 1 species